GAUGAACGCUGGCGGCGUGCUCAACACAUGCAAGUCGAACGGUGAACACGGAGCUUGCUCUGUGGGAUCAGUGGCGAACGGGUGAGUAACACGUGAGCAACCUGCCCCUGACUCUGGGAUAAGCGCUGGAAACGGCGUCUAAUACUGGAUAUGUGACGUGACCGCAUGGUCUGCGUUUGGAAAGAUUUUUCGGUUGGGGAUGGGCGCGCGGCCUAUCAGCUUGUUGGUGAGGUAAUGGCUCACCAAGGCGUCGACGGGUAGCCGGCCUGAGAGGGUGACCGGCCACACUGGGACUGAGACACGGCCCAGACUCCUACGGGAGGCAGCAGUGGGGAAUAUUGCACAAUGGGCGGAAGCCUGAUGCAGCAACGCCGCGUGAGGGAUGACGGCCUUCGGGUUGUAAACCCCUUUUAGCAGGGAAGAAGCGAAAGUGACGGUACCUGCAGAAAAAGCGCCGGCUAACUACGUGCCAGCCGCCGCCGUAACAC
rnacentral:rRNA from 1 species